GGCCGCAUGGCGAAAUGGCAUCGCGUCUGACUACGAUAUCCCGUAGUGAUCAGGAGAUUCUGGGUUCGACCCCCAGUGUGGUCA